GGGAGCUUGCUCCUGGAUUCAGCGGCGGACGGGCGAGUAAUGCCUAGGAAUCUGCCUGGUAGUGGGGGAUAACGUCCGGAAACGGGCGCUAAUACCGCAUACGUCCUGAGGGAGAAAGUGGGGGAUCUUCGGACCUCACGCUAUCAGAUGAGCCUAGGUCGGAUUAGCUAGUUGGUGGGGUAAAGGCCUACCAAGGCGACGAUCCGUAACUGGUCUGAGAGGAUGAUCAGUCACACUGGAACUGAGACACGGUCCAGACUCCUACGGGAGGCAGCAGUGGGGAAUAUUGGACAAUGGGCGAAAGCCUGAUCCAGCCAUGCCGCGUGUGUGAAGAAGGUCUUCGGAUUGUAAAGCACUUUAAGUUGGGAGGAAGGGCAGUAAGUUAAUACCUUGCUGUUUUGACGUUACCAACAGAAUAAGCACCGGCUAACUUCGUGCCAGCAGCCGCGGUAAUACGAAGGGUGCAAGCGUUAAUCGGAAUUACUGGGCGUAAAGCGCGCGUAGGUGGUUCAGCAAGUUGGAUGUGAAAUCCCCGGGCUCAACCUGGGAACUGCAUCCAAAACUACUGAGCUAGAGUACGGUAGAGGGUGGUGGAAUUUCCUGUGUAGCGGUGAAAUGCGUAGAUAUAGGAAGGAACACCAGUGGCGAAG
rnacentral:rRNA from 1 species